rnacentral:rRNA from 1 species
AUCAGCCGUACUCCGAAUGCUCUAGAUUAAAGUUUGAUCAUGGCUCAGACUUGAACGCUGGCGGCAGGCCUAACACAUGCAAGUCGAGCGGAUGACGGGAGCUUGCUCCUUGAUUCAGCGGGGGACGGGUGAGUAAUGCCUAGGAAUCUGCCUGGUAGUGGGGGACAACGUUUCGAAAGGAACGCUAAUACCGCAUACGUCCUACGGGAGAAAGCAGGGGACCUUCGGGCCUUGCGCUAUCAGAUGAGCCUAGGUCGGAUUAGCUAGUUUGGUGGGGUAAUGGCUCACCAAGGCGACGAUCCGUAACUGGUCUGAGAGGAUGAUCAGUCACACUGGAACUGAGACACGGUCCAGACUCCUACGGGAGGCAGCAGUGGGGAAUAUUGGACAAUGGGCGAAAGCCUGAUCCAGCCAUGCCGCGUGUGUGAAGAAGGUCUUCGGAUUGUAAAGCACUUUAAGCUUGGGAGGAAGGGCAGUAAGCUAAUACCUUGCUGUAUUGACGUUACCGACAAGAAUAANCA